GGAUUAGAUACCCUGGUAGUCCACGCCGUAAACGAUGUCUAUUAGGAGUCUGUGCCCUUGAGGCGUGGGUUCCAAAGCUAACGCAUUAAAUAGACCGCCUGGGGAGUACGGCCGCAAGGUUAAAACUCAAAUGAAUUGACGGGGGCCCGCACAAGCGGUGGAGCAUGUGGUUUAAUUCGAUGCAACGCGAAGAACCUUACCAUCUCUUGACAUCCACGGAAUCUUAGGGAGACCUGAGAGUGCCUUCGGGAACCGUGAGACAGGUGCUGCAUGGCUGUCGUCAGCUCGUGCCG
rnacentral:rRNA from 1 species